rnacentral:misc_RNA from 1 species
CGCACAUUGCGCCCUUUGGCAUUCCGAAGGGCAUGCCUGUUCGAGCGUCAUUAUCAACCCUCAAGCUUGGCUUGUUGUUGGACCGAAGGGAAGUUGACUCUUCCCUGGUCUUGAAGACAAUGACGGCGUCUAGAGGACCCUCAAUACAAUGAGCUUUUUAAGCACGUGUUGUAGUGGAUCUUUAGGCCCGGUCUCCUUUUAUUUUUUCAGGUUGACCUCGGAUCAGGUAGGGAUACCCGCUGAACUUAA